AUCAGCUUGCCAGAGUGGUUAAUGGGACAGACUUGAAAUCUGUUGUCUUCGGGUAAGAUUUACCCCAUCCACUAUUCCUAUCAAUUUAUUCUAACGUAUCACAGACGCGUAGGUUCAAAUCCUGCAGCUGAUG
rnacentral:tRNA from 1 species